rnacentral:lncRNA from 1 species
CAGUAUGGGUUGAUUAUUUUUUUACAUAACAGAAAGUCCAGAGGUGAAUGUUUUUUAUUUCUUUUAGGCAUUCAAUCACGUUAUCCAGGACCAGAUUUCCUUCAGCCUGUAAUCUCUGCCAUGCACAGCAGAUAAAUAAGGCUGAAGAGACACCAGCAUUUGGUUGA